rnacentral:rRNA from 1 species
UACGAAGGGGGCUAGCGUUGCUCGGAAUCACUGGGCGUAAAGCGCACGUAGGCGGAUUGUUAAGUCAGGGGUGAAAUCCUGGAGCUCAACUCCAGAACUGCCUUUGAUACUGGCGAUCUCGAGUCCGGGAGAGGUGAGUGGAACUGCGAGUGUAGAGGUGAAAUUCGUAGAUAUCUGGAGGAACACCGGUGGCGAAGGCGGCAUCCUGGACCGAUAUUGACGCUGAGGCGCGAAAGCCAGGGGAGCAAACGGG